rnacentral:lncRNA from 1 species
ACGGAGCCUACGAACAGCCCGGCGGCUCCCGCCGCGAGCACCGUCGCGACGACGGCCUGUAGGGCGACGAGCGCGGCGGAGUCGUCGGGCACGACGACCACGGCGACGACGGCGGCCACGAGGAGCGGCAGCGAGACGGAGGCGAGGACGGAGGGCGACGUCCCCGCCGCGGUCUCGACGAGGCUGAGCAGGCCCAGGUCCUCGGCCUUGGACAGCAGGCCCAGCUGCUCCAGCGAGGAGAGCGUCACGCCCAGCUCCUCGGCCUUGGACAGCAGGCCGGCCUUCUCCACGGUGCUCAGCACCUUGCGCCGCUCCAGCUUCUUGAACACGUCCAC